UACGUAGGUGGCAAGCGUUGUCCGGACUUACUGGGCGUAAAGGGCGUGCAGGCGGUUUGUUAAGUUCAGGGUGAAAGCUCCCGGCUCAACUGGGAGAGGUCCUUGGAUACUGGCAGACUUGAGGAGGGUAGAGGAGAGUGGAAUUCCCGGUGUAGUGGUGAAAUGCGCAGAUAUCAGGAAGAACACCCGUGGCGAAGGCGGCUCUCUGGGACGGUACUGACGCUGAGACGCGAAAGCGUGGGGAGCGAACAGG
rnacentral:rRNA from 1 species